ACGGCCAUACCCACUGGAAAACUCGGGAUCCCGUCCGCUCUCCCAUAGAUAAGCCAGUGAGGGCCGGAUUAGUAGUUGGGUCGGUGACGACCAGCGAAUACCUGGUGUUGUAUGUU
rnacentral:rRNA from 1 species